rnacentral:lncRNA from 1 species
GUCCAAGUACUCGAAGUGAUUCGUAUGUUGUAGGCAUCCUUACAAAUUAACUUUUAAGUUGUUAUUAUUGAGGUUGAGGAUAUAGGGGUUUGUGGGGUAAUGUUUGGCUUGUUACCGAUCGAGCUAAAUCCAGGUUACUCUGAAAAUGUCCUCAUGCAAUUAAAAUUCAUAAAUCAUGACCCUGUAACCCUAUUUUUUAUCAUGCAACAUAAGUUAAAACCCAAAUGAGACCAUGGGCAUGUAACGUACCAC